rnacentral:rRNA from 1 species
AACGAACGCUGGCGGCAGGCCUAACACAUGCAAGUCGAACGCCCUAGCAAUAGGGAGUGGCAGACGGGUGAGUAACACGUGGGAACGUUCCUUUCGGUUCGGAAUAACCCACGGGAAACUUGGACGUAAUACCGGAUACGUGCGAGAGCAGAAAGAUUUAUCGCCGAAAGAUCGGCCCGCGUCCGAUUAGCUAGUUGGUGAGGUAACGGCGUCACCAAGGCGACGAUCGGUAGCUGGUCUGAGAGGAUGAUCAGCCACACUGGGACUGAGACACGGCCCGGA